rnacentral:rRNA from 1 species
GAUGAACGCUGGCGGCGUGCUUAACACAUGCAAGUCGAACGAAGCACCUCUCCCGAAGAUUGACACAGCUUGCUGUAGAUUGAUUCAUUUGAGGUGACUGAGUGGCGGACGGGUGAGUAACGCGUGGGUAACCUGCCUCAUAGAGGGGGACAACAGUUGGAAACGACUGCUAAUACCGCAUAGUAAGAAGAAUUCGCAUGUUUUCUUCUUGAAAGAUUUAUCGCUAUGAGAUGGACCCGCGUCUGAUUAGCUAGUUGGUAAGGUAACGGCUUACCAAGGCGACGAUCAGUAGCCGGCUUGAGAGAGUGAACGGCCACAUUGGGACUGAGACACGGCCCAAACUCCUACGGGAGGCAGCAGUGGGGAAUAUUGCACAAUGGGGGAAACCCUGAUGCAGCGACGCCGCGUGAGUGAAGAAGUAUUUCGGUACGUAAAGCUCUAUCAGCAGGGAAGAUAAUGACGGUACCUGACGAAGAAGCCCCGGCUAACUACGUG